AUUAUAAAAGGUUGUUAAACAACGUGUAGUUAAAGGAAUAUAAAAGUGCAAUUGCAGGGUUACUAUUGUACUCAGUAACACAAGGGAGUAGUCCUUUGCUUUUUCUGCUCUUAUACAACAACCUGUCCUUUUCUGUUUUACUGUGUAUAUAUUUAUAAAGUAAAAGGGUUGCAUAUGAAAUAAUUAUUCACAUACUGCUCCAUCACAAUAGAGUACUAGUCUUGCUAUAACCCACUCCCACAGUAUACACUGACUGCCCUGUAAACGUAUGUAACUCUUUAGUGCCUUGCAUCCUCACUAAGAGAAAUUCCACCAUGUUAACUGAGCCCCGCUGUUCUGACGGACUUAAGUCCAGUGACUGAAAGAUAGAUUAACUACGGACCUGUGAGGUCCAUCAGAAACGGUUUCAGAAACGUAAAUGUGUAAUGUGGAGGUUAUAACAAAUGGACUAGAAGUCUGUGUCCAGAGAGACAAGUGAUGUUCUUACACACGACUGAUUAAUAGACAGCAGGGCACACUGGGUUUGCAUUAAAAAUCUAGAGUCAUCAGCAGAACAGCGUUUCUUUUUGUGUGUAAGCUGUAUAUCCUAUACUGGUUAUGGAAUACGGUGGGCGAUUUGGGGAGUUCCUGAAUGAACCAAUCAGAAAAGUGUUGCACAGCAGCACUUGUUUUACGUAGAGGAGAAAACUAAACAUAUUUCUCCCCAUUGGCACUAUUCCUUGCUCCUUUGCCACCUCACAUGAUAAGUGCCAUUCCCCUCACUACAGCUACCACCUCACCUACCCUUGCCUGGAUUGAACAACUUCUAAAUUCUCUAGAGAAUAUUAAGUUACUGCAAUGCAGAAUAUGCAAUGUUUCAAGUUUUAUAGGGAGUGAUGGGAAAUGGAUAUGUUCACAUACCGAGGGUUGUUACUGACUUGACGAAGUGUUUUGAUAUUGGGAAACCCUAGAUCCUACUUUUUUCUUUGUUCGUUAUUCUUUGCCUUGCUCUGAGUCCACAGUGCCGAUGUUGGUUUGCCAUUCACAGCUGUCACAGGCAAAUGUUUCAGUUAGUCUUACAAUAUCUGCAUUUCUGGAAGUUUGCAUGUUAACCGAUUUUAGAACUUAGACUUACCUAGAACACAACCCACCAAUCCACUGUACAGCCCAUGGUAAUUUAUCAUAUUAACAGUAAGUAGUUAUUUAUCCUCAAGUAGUUGGAAGAUUCUCUUGGCACAUUCUCUCAUCACUUAAAAUUACUAAAAUAAGUUAUUUCAUGUUGUUUUCUUGGAUUUCUGUCUGUUUUCUCUGGC
ensembl:lncRNA